UCAAGGAAGAAGUUUUGACGGUACUUGAGGAAUCAGCCUCGGCUAACUCCGUGCCAGCAGCCGCGGUAAUACGGGGGAGGCAAGCGUUAUCCGGAAUUAUUGGGCGUAAAGCGUCCGCAGGUGGUCAGCCAAGUCUGCUGUCAAAUCAGGUUGCUUAACGACCUAAAGGCGGUGGAAACUGGCAGACUAGAGAGCAGUAGGGGUAGCAGGAAUUCCCAGUGUAGCGGUGAAAUGCGUAGAGAUUGG
rnacentral:rRNA from 1 species